rnacentral:rRNA from 1 species
CGGUUAGACUCGGAUUUCCGGUUAGACUCGGAUUUCUAGUAAAGGUGAGUAGGUGUAAAGGUUAAAUAAUUGGAGUUUGAUAGAGCUUACGCGUUCAAUAUAACAAUGAGUGAAACCUGUUUGUUAGUCUUUAAAAUUGAGCGUGAGCUUCGUUGGGCUUAUGUUGAGGCCUAGAAAAUUUAGGUAAGAACCAGGAUUAGAUACCCUGUUACUCUAAUAGGAGCAAAUAUUAUAAACUUGAGUAUUAGUAAUUAAUUAAUUUUAAAUUCAAAGAACCUGGCGGUACUUUAGUCUAGUUGGAGGAACCUGUUUCAUAAACGAUAAACCACGUAAAAUCUUUCUUGUUCUUGUACAGUUAGUAUACCUUCAUUACAGAUAAUUUUUAUUGAUUGAUUAUUGCAAUUAGUAUGGAAUACACGCUAAGUAAAUUAGAUCAAGGUGCUGCAAAUGAUCAAGUAGAAAUGGGUUACAAUGGUUUUUAACGUUAAGCGAAGUAUGUUUAGGAUUAAGCAUAUGAAGAUGGAUUCAAUUGUAAUUUUAACUUUAAUAAGGUAAAAUGGUAUUAGCUCUAAAGUGUGUACAUAUUGCCCGUCGCUUUCAUUA